rnacentral:tRNA from 1 species
GCGGGCAUAGCUCAAUGGUAGAGCCACAGCCUUCCAAGCUGAAGAUGCGGGUUCGAUUCCCGCUGCCCGCUCCA